GGCGCAUUCGUCUAGCGGCCUAGGACACUGCCCUCUCAAGGCAGAGACCACCGGUUCGAAUCCGGUAUGCGCUACCA
rnacentral:tRNA from 1 species